CAUGUGUAAGUACGUAAAAUAUAUAGGUAGAUAUAUAAGUAGAAAAAUGAAAAUAAGAAUGUAUAUAGUUUGCCGUGUAUAAUUUGAUAUGUAUGUAUGUAUAUGUAUAAUAGCUUGCUGUAUAAAUAUGUAUGAAAAUUCGUAUAUAUACAUAAUAUAUAUAUAUAUCCGUAUAUCUAAAAAAAAAAAAAUCGCAAGAAAUCUGGAGCAGGCGCACGGCCGCGCCUGCAAUCGGCGCUCAGGGAGUGGGGGGGGCCAUUAAUGGCCGAGGUGACGUCGGAGUGGCCUCCCGGCCACGUGGGUGUCUCGAUGGGACGUUCGCAGCGAAGCUUUGGCUAUAAAUAGCCGAGAUCGCGCAUGCCCCAUUCAUCCGAAAAUUUCGAGGCCUUAAUCGGGCACUUGGGCAGUGUUUGAGAGUUUUCGUGAGUGGGGUACUGGUCCUCGAGGUGUGGGCGACAUUUCUGGAGCUUUUGGUGACCAACGGAGCAGUGGGGGAGAAGAUUCAAGCCUUCGCCGGAAAAUCGCGAUUCGCCGGAGCCGAGCUUUCAAUCGCAAAAUCGAGGGGCCCUCGUGAGCAAGGAAAUUAAGGGGUAGCCGCUUGGCACGUAGAUCGAGACAAAUUAACUGU